GAUGAACGCUGGCGGCGUGCUUAAUACAUGCAAGUCGAACGAACAGGCGAUGCUCUUGUGGCUCGCUCGAUAGGCGAACGGGGGAGUAAAACGCGUGUAACAUGUCCCUGUCUUACGGGUAAAAUCUGGAAAAAGGGGCUCAAAUCCGAUAGAAUCUACUGCUGCAUGGGGGGGGUUGGUAAGUUUCGGCUGUUGGGGCUGGAAUCGCGGCUUAUCCGCUUGUUGGUGGGGUAGUGGCUUACCAAGGCUGUGAAGGGUAGCCGGCAUGGGAGGGUGACCGGCCUCCAUGGGACUGAGAUAGGGCCCAGACUCCUACGGGAGGCAGCAGGGGGGAAUAUUGCACAAUGGGCGGAAGCCUGAUGCAGCAGCGCCGCGUGCGGGAUGACGUCCUUCGGGUUGUAAACAGCUGUCUCCUGUGACGAAGCGGGAGUGACGGUAAUGGGUAAAGAAGCACCGGCUAACUACGUG
rnacentral:rRNA from 1 species